rnacentral:rRNA from 1 species
GGGAUUUGCGCAUGGGCGAANCCUGNGCACGACGCCGCGUGGGGGAUGAAGCUUCUCGGAGUGUAAACCCCUUUCGACCCGGACGAAUGACCCGCAAGGGUUUGACGGUACGGGUAUAAGAAGCCCCGGCUAACUACGUGCCAGCAGCCGCGGUAAUACGUAGGGGGCCAGCGUUGCUCGGAAUUACUGGGCGUAAAGGGUUCGUAGGUGGUGCGGCAAGUCGGGAGUGAAAUCUCUGGGCUUAACUCAGAGGCUGCUUUCGAAACUGCCGUGCUCGAGUGCGAGAGAGGCCAGUGGAAUUGCAGGUGUAGCGGUGAAAUGCGUAGAUAUCUGCAGGAACACCCGUGGCGAAGGCGGCUGGCUGGAUCGCAACUGACACUGAGGAACGAAAGCUAGGGGAGCAAACAGGAUUAGAUACCCUGGUAGUCCUAGCCCUAAACCAUCAGGACUUGGGGUGGCCCGCGUAGGCGGGUCGUCCCGUAGCUAACGCGUUAAGUCCUGCGCCUGGGGAGUACGGUCGCAAGACUGAAACUCAAAAGAAUUGACGGA